GCAUAUCAAUAAGCGGAGGAAAAGAAACCAACAGGGAUUGCUCUAGUAACGGCGAGUGAAGCAGCAAUAGCUCAAAUUUGAAAUCUGGCGUCUUCGACGUCCGAGUUGUAAUUUGUAGAGGAUGCUUCUGAGUGGCCACCGACCUAAGUUCCUUGGAACAGGACGUCAUAGAGGGUGAGAAUCCCGUAUGCGGUCGGAAAGGCGCUCUAUACGUAGCUCCUUCGACGAGUCGAGUUGUUUGGGAAUGCAGCUCUAAAUGGGAGGUAAAUUUCUUCUAAAGCUAAAUAUUGGCCAGAGACCGAUAGCGCACAAGUAGAGUGAUCGAAAGAUGAAAAGCACUUUGGAAAGAGAGUUAAAAAGCACGUGAAAUUGUUAAAAGGGAAGGGAUUGCAACCAGACUUGCUCGCGGUGUUCCGCCGGUCUUCUGACCGGUCUACUCGCCGCGUUGCAGGCCAGCAUCGUCUGGUGCCGCUGGAUAAGACUUGAGGAAUGUAGCUCCCUCGGGAGUGUUAUAGCCUCUCGUGAUGCAGCGAGCGCCGGGCGAGGUCCGCGCUUCGGCUAGGAUGCUGGCGUAAUGGUCGUAAUCCGCCCGUCUUGAAACACGGACC
rnacentral:rRNA from 1 species